GAUGAACGCUGGCGGCGUGCCUAAUACAUGCAAGUCGAGCGAACAGACGAGGAGCUUGCUCCUCUGACGUUAGCGGCGGACGGGUGAGUAACACGUGGAUAACCUACCUAUAAGACUGGGAUAACUUCGGGAAACCGGAGCUAAUACCGGAUAAUAUAUUGAACCGCAUGGUUCAAUAGUGAAAGACGGUUUUGCUGUCACUUAUAGAUGGAUCCGCGCCGCAUUAGCUAGUUGGUAAGGUAACGGCUUACAAAGGCAACGAUGCGUAGCCGACCUGAGAGGGUGAUCGGCCACACUGGAACUGAGACACGGUCCAGACUCCUACGGGAGGCAGCAGUAGGGAAUCUUCCGCAAUGGGCGAAAGCCUGACGGAGCAACGCCGCGUGAGUGAUGAAGGUCUUCGGAUCGUAAAACUCUGUUAUUAGGGAAGAACAAAUGUGUAAGUAACUAUGCACGUCUUGACGGUACCUAAUCAGAAAGCCACGGCUAACUACGUG
rnacentral:rRNA from 1 species